rnacentral:lncRNA from 1 species
AUUUAUUACCGUGCACACGGGACCUACUUUCUUCCAAUGAUCUGAUGUGUGCUCUAAAUCAUGAUCCUGACAUUUGCAUUUUGCAGGAAUGGAAGCCUCCUCCAGGCAUCUCCAUAUGGCACUGUUCAGUGAGGUGCACAGCAUGUGUAGCAUCAGGGAAAGGGCCAGACACCUGUACCUGAACCAGAAGGCCAGACAACUCAGAAAACAUGAACUUCUGCACCUUCCAGAAUGGAAAUGCUGGAUUUUUGCACCCAGUGUCCACCAGAGGGCACCAUCGUUUGCCUCUCUGGAGCUGUUUCUUUGUGUUACAGAACUAAGCAAAAGUCAUGCUUCACAGAUUCCUUGGUUUGGUGACUUUUAUUUUAUUUUCAUUUCUCAAUAAUUUUGCUAUAAGUAUUGAUGCCUUGAAUCUAAACAUAUGUUAAAAAUACCUUAUCGGUGUGAGCCAAGUUGCUUUAUAGCUCUAUUUCCCUUUUUCUUAGCCCCUACAGUU